rnacentral:rRNA from 1 species
AAUCAACGCUGGCGGCGUGCCUAACACAUGCAAGUCGCACGAGAAAGGGGAGCAAUCCCUGAGUAAAGUGGCGCACGGGUGAGUAACACGUGAAUUAUCUACCUCCGAGUGGGGAAUAACUGAGAGAAAUCUUAGCUAAUACCGCAUAACACUUACGAGUCAAAGCAGCAAUGCGCUUGGAGAGGAGUUCGCGGCCGAUUAGUUAGUUGGCGGGGUAAUGGCCCACCAAGACGAUGAUCGGUAUCCGGCCUGAGAGGGCNCACGGACACACUGGAACUGAAACACGGU